rnacentral:rRNA from 1 species
GUUCAGAUCCCGGUCGACUGAAACGCUGGCGGGAUGCUUUACACAUGCAAGUCGAACGGCAGCACGGACUUCGGUCUGGUAUAGAGUAUAAUUGUAGUGAGUACGUAUCGGAACGUGCCUAGUAGCGGGGACAACUGAUAUGAGUGUGAAGCAAUACCGCAUACGCCUCGGGGAAAGCGGGGACCUUCGGGCCUGCACUAUUAUAGAGCGGCCGAUAUCGGAUUAGUUGGUGGGCAACGGCUCACCAAGGCGACGAUCCGUGAAGCUGGUUUGAGAGGACGACCAGCCACACUGGGACUGGAGACACGGCUCCAGACUCCUACGGAGGCAGCAGGAAGGAAUUUUGGGACAAUGGGGGAAACCUUCAUCCGCGCCAUCCCAGGCGCGAUAGAAGGCCUCGGGUUGUAAAGCACUUUUGGCAGGAAAGAAUCAGCGUAUCGAUAAUACCUCGUGCAACUGACGGUACCUGCAGAAUAAGCACCGGCUAACUACGCCAGCAGCCGCGGUACGUAGGUGCAAGCGUUAAUCGAAAUACUGGCAAAAGGGGUAGGGCGGUUCGGAAAGAAAGAUGAAAUCCCAGAGCGCAGAACUUUGGGAACUGGCUUUUUUAACUGAGCCAGAGUGUGUCAGAGGAGGUGGAAUUCCGCGUGUAGCAGUGAAAUGCGUAGGAUAUGCGGAGGAACACCGAGGUAAUGCCAGCCCCCGACAACACUGACGCUCAUGCACGAAAGCGUGGGGAGCAAACAGAUUAGACAUUCUGGUAGUUCACGCCCUAAACGAUGUCAACUAGCUGUUGGGGCCUUCGGCCUUGCAGCGCAGCUUAACGCGUGAAGUUGACCGCCUGGGGAGUACGGUCGCAGAUUAAACUCGUAUGAAUUGAUUGGGACCCGCAGCCGUUGGUGUGGAUGAUGUGAUUAAUUCGAUGCAACGCGAAAAACCUGAAUACUCACCCUUGAUAAUGGAAUCCCGAAGAGAUUUGGGGAGUGCCUGCAAGAGAACCGAACACAGGUGCUGCAUGGCUGUUUCGUCAGCUCGUGUCGUGGAGAUGUUGGUUGAAGUCCCGCAACGAGCGCAACCUUGUCAUUAGUUGCUACGAAAGGGCACUCUAAUGAGACUGCCGGUGACAAACCGGAGGAAGGCUGUGAUGACGUCAAGUCCUCAUGGCCUUUAUGGGUAGGGUCACAUCGUCAUACAAUGGUCGGGACAGAGGUAUGCCAACCCGAGGGGGAGCGACCAGAAACCUGAUCGUAGUCCGAUCGCAGUUCGCAACUCGACUAAAGGUGGUUUGAAUCGCCAGUAAUCGCAUCAACAUGUCGCAGAACAUAGUUCGGACUUGUACACACCGCCUGUCACACCAUGGGAGUGUAGUUUUACCAGAAGUAGUUAGCUCAACUCGUAAGGAGGUGGCGAUUACCAAUAGGUAGGAUUCAUGACUGGGGUGGGGCCGUAACAAGGUAA